UGAACGCUGGCGGCGUGCCUAAUACAUGCAAGUCGAGCGAACAGACGAGGAGCUUGCUCCUCUGACGUUAGCGGCGGACGGGUGAGUAACACGUGGAUAACCUACCUAUAAGACUGGGAUAACUUCGGGAAACCGGAGCUAAUACCGGAUAAUAUAUUGAACCGCAUGGUUCAAUAGUGAAAGACGGUUUUGCUGUCACUUAUAGAUGGAUCCGCGCCGCAUUAGCCAGUUGGUAAGGUAACGGCUUACCAAGGCGACGAUGCGUAGCCGACCUGAGAGGGUGAUCGGCCACACUGGAACUGAGACACGGUCCAGACUCCUACGGGAGGCAGCAGUAGGGAAUCUUCCGCAAUGGGCGAAAGCCUGACGGAGCAACGCCGCGUGAGUGAUGAAGGUCUUCGGAUCGUAAAACUCUGUUAUUAGGGAAGAACAAAUGUGUAAGUAACUAUGCACGUCUUGACGGUACCUAAUCAGAAAGCCACGGCUAACUACGUG
rnacentral:rRNA from 1 species